rnacentral:rRNA from 1 species
UGGGUAACCUGCCCUGUACACACGGAUAACAUACCGAAAGGUAUGCUAAUACGAGAUAAUAUGCUUUUAUCGCAUGGUAGAAGUAUCAAAGCUCCGGCGGUACAGGAUGGACCCGCGUCUGAUUAGCUAGUUGGUAAGGUAACGGCUUACCAAGGCGACGAUCAGUGGCCGACCUGAGAGGGUGAUCGGCCACAUUGGAACUGAGACACGGUCCAAACUCCUACGGGAGGCAG